rnacentral:rRNA from 1 species
CGUUUUACGCUUAUUUUAUGUAAGAUUAAUUCUGCCCGGUGAGUAUACUCUUUAACGGCCGCAGUACCUUGACUGUGCUAAGGUAGCAUAAUCAAUUGGUCUUUAAAUGAGGCCUAGAAUGAAAGGAACCAUGGAAAGAAACUGUCUCUCUUAAUAGCUUUUUCUAACUUAAUUAAUAGGUGAAAAUACCUAUACCUAAGAAAAAAGACGAGAAGACCCUAAGAAUUUUUAGAUAUUUCUGUUUUACUCAAAGCUUUUUGUUGGGGUGACAUUUUAACACGUAAACUUAAAUUAUUAAAUAAACCGAGAUAAUUUAUAAAAGGUAAAAUUACCUUAGGGAUAACAGCAUAAUUUUUUUAAAAGAUUAUGACCUCGAUGUUGGACUAGGAGCUUAAUAAUAAGCAAUUUUAAAAGAGGGUUCUGUUCGAACUAUUCUCUCCU